rnacentral:lncRNA from 1 species
AUGAGGUCACCGCGCGCCCAGGGGUGGAGAGGCGCCUUCGGAGGAGGAGAAGCCGGGCGAGCUCUCGCGGUCCGGGCGCCGUGGCCGUCGGAUCGGUCGCCAUCCCGGGCGAGGAGCCCGUGUCCGCGGCCCGGCGGGGGACGGGUAGGCGCUUCGGCCCCUGCCCUUUGGCUGGCAGGUAGGCAGCCUUCCUUCUUUCCGCUGGCCGGGCCAAUGCGGUUCCCGAGUUUAGGCCCCGGCGGACUACCAGUCCCAUCAGGUCGCUCUCAGGCCCGUAGGCGAAGGCUCCCGGCGUCGUGGAUGGUGGGGAACGUCUUGAGAAGAGUGCCUGGAAUAAAAAUAAAAAAUUAUAUAUGUCAGAAAUGCACAAUCCCUAGGAAGCGAUGUGGCUGCGAAGUUUCAGGACGAGAGUUCGAGGAGCGACGCCUGUGGAGGUUCAAGAUGUGAGGUGAACAGGCUCAAACAGCGCUGAAUGAGGAAACAGUGGUUGCAGCCCUUGUGGGAAAUGCUCCGGGAAAAGUUCCUGCUUGACGGAUGCUGAAUCAGCCUGGUGUUCUUCCCCGCCAGGUCUGAUGGGUCGUGAAUUCCAGCUUGGGGAAAGGUGAGAAUUCUGGUCUUGGUGUGGAUGAUGCUUGCAAUUCAGUGUGUGUCUUGUCUGUCUGUCUCAUGGUAAUGUCACAACGUCUCUUAUUUUUGGAACUAAUAGAUGCUAAGGGUUCCGUGGCCCUAUCUGUGUUUCAGAAUCCUUUCUCUAGGAGGCAGGAGAGCAGGGAGCAUUUUCAUCUUGGUAUCCAGGCACUUAGCCCUUUGGCUGGAAGUGAUGGGAAUGGCAAGCCAACGGAUCUCAAGGAAAUCCCUGGAGAACAUGGGUAGAUGGCCCAGCUUUAUGAUUGCACCUAAGCCCUAAGGAGUUUGAACAAAGCAAAAAAAUAAAAAAUAAAAAAUUGGGUUGGAAUAACUGAGA